rnacentral:rRNA from 1 species
AGCGAACGCUGGCGGCAGGCCUAACACAUGCAAGUCGAACGGAUCCUUCGGGAUUAGUGGCGGACGGGUGAGUAACACGUGGGAACGUGCCCUUUGGUUCGGAACAACUCAGGGAAACUUGAGCUAAUACCGGAUGUGCCCUUCGGGGGAAAGAUUUAUCGCCAUUGGAGCGGCCCGCGUCUGAUUAGCUAGUUGGUGAGGUAAAGGCUCACCAAGGCGACGAUCAGUAGCUGGUCUGAGAGGAUGAUCAGCCACAUUGGGACUGAGACACGGCCCAAACUCCUACGGGAGGCAGCAGUGGGGAAUCUUGCGCAAUGGGCGAAAGCCUGACGCUGCCAUGCCGCGUGAAUGAUGAAGGUCUUAGGAUUGUAAAAUUCUUUCACCGGGGACGAUAAUGACGGUACCCGGAGAAGAAGCCCCGGCUAACUUCGUGCCAGCAGCCGCCGUAAUAC